rnacentral:lncRNA from 1 species
CUCGGUUGGACAGGUUGAGAGAAACAUGUCAUUAAGUUUCUUAAAUGACGAAGAGGCCAGGAAGAUCCUUCAGGUGCUGGAAAGGAAUGAGGAGUUACAGAGGGCCGAGAAGGACAGGAUCAGCAAACUUCAGAAGACAAAGAGGGAUAUCAGAUGGCUUCAGGGAGUGACUGGUGAAUGGUUUGAAGAAAUUCAAAGAAAAAAGUUUUGCAAUGAAACAGAUGUUAGCCAAAUGUUAAAACAACCACUUACAUACAGGCUAAGUAAGGAGAUGGCAAAAAAUGAUCCGAUAGAAUUACCUACAUCAAGAUCUAAAAAUGUAACUAAUCAAAAAAAGCCGACACCUUUUUCUUCCCGGAUGAGCUUCAGAUCGUCAUUUGCUUCCCUGUUCUCAUUCAGGAAAUCUGGAAAGGAGACUUCAAAGCUUCCAUCACUGGGACAGAAAGGAUGUGAUGGCCAUGCAGGACCUCCUAUGCCUGUGAGGGGAGCUGCUGUGGUAAGCAAAAAUAUACAAUUCACCUCUGGAAAAUCAUCUAGUUGACAGUACAUUUGUCCCAAAGCCAGCAGUCAUGAGGGAGGAGAGUGGCAUGCCUCCACCGUGGGAUGCUUCACUGCUGGAGAAUGAGUUUUUCCAAGUUUUAGAUGACUUGGAUAGCAAAUUGGCUCAGGAACAGUCUGCAAGCUCAGUGAAUACCAGAACACCCCUCAACUAUGGAUCAAGAACACAGUUCGGUCACUUUUAUUCCAGUGGUAACAGACAUGGUAAUAUCACAGAAAGGCAC